rnacentral:sRNA from 1 species
AGCAUGGACAGCCUGGAUCUGCUGGGUGAAGGGAGAAGUUAUGUCCAGGGUGGGACAGAGAGGAUGGCGAGAGAUUUCCUCACUACUCAGAACAGCGGGAAAUUCAAAACUUAGGGAUUAUUUCUGAAAUUUUCCAUUUAAAAUUGACCAAGUGUAACUGAAACCAGAGAAAGCAAGACUGACGAUAAGGGAGGGGCCUCCUGUACUCCAAGAGCACUGAAUCUGGAAAAACUCAACACAUCGAUGGAGUCAUAUAUUUAAUUUUUUCUUAAAAGCCACCUGUGGGGUAUUGUAGAAACGCUGCGCUGCCUAUCACAGCUUGUGAUGUGACACGUUCAUUCUGCAAGUUUAAACUUCGCCUAGCAAAUCUUUAUGAGCAUCUACUAUGCAUCAUGCUGUUCUCGUGAACAAAACAAGAUCCAUAUCCUAAGGGAGUGUGCCUUCCAGCAGAGAAAGACGGCAAUGUAUCGGUUCUUGGGGAAAAGCUGUGCUUCAGAGACAAGGUUGAAGAACUUCGCCUGCAUAUGAUGGAAGAUGACAAUGGGAACCACAGGUGUCAUUGGUGGCUUUGUUUUACAAAGUCUUCACCUUUCUGCCGAGUCACGGGACUAAGUUCAACUCAAUUUCUACUUUCCGCCUUCCUUUGGAAUAAUAGUUUUGGAAGCCAAGUAUUAGUAUAUGAUAUCAGGUGUGUUUUCUAAAGAUUCAAGUUCAGUGGGCUGAAUGCACUUUCGUGACUUCAUUAGACCACUGAGCCCAAGGAGAAAAGUGCCAAUCUUACUAGACAUGAGGAAAAAGACACAUCUUUUGCUCUUGCUGGAAGUGGUGUCCUACUUUCUACAAGCAGUCGUCAUCUG